rnacentral:rRNA from 1 species
UACGAAGGUCCCGAGCGUUGUUCGGAAUCACUGGGCGUAAAGGGAGCGUAGGCGGCGUGGUAAGUCAGAUGUGAAAUCCCGGGGCUCAACCCCGGAACUGCAUCCGAUACUGCCGUGCUAGAGGAUUGGAGAGGUAGCUGGAAUUCUUGGUGUAGCAGUGAAAUGCGUGGAGAUCAAAGAGGAACACUCGUGGCGAAAGCGAGCUACUGGACAAUAUCUGACGCUGAGGCUCGAAGGCCAGGGUAGCGAAAGGG